ACUGAUAUGAAGAGCUUGCUCGGAUUUGAAGAUGAACAUUGCAAAGAGUGGCGAACGGGUGAGUAACACGUGGGAAACCUACCUCUUAGCGGGGGAUAACACUUGGAAACAAGUGCUAAUACCGCAUAAUACUGAUAACCGCAUGGUUAUCAGUUGAAAGAUGGUUCUGCUAUCACUAAGAGAUGGUCCCGCGGUGUAUUAGCUAGUUGGUAAGGUAAUGGCUUACCAAGGCAAUGAUACAUAGCCGAGUUGAGAGACUGAUCGGCCACAAUGGGACUGAGACACGGCCCAUACUCCUACGGGAGGCAGCAGUAGGGAAUCUUCCACAAUGGACGAAAGUCUGAUGGAGCAACGCCGCGUGUGUGAUGAAGGGUUUCGGCUCGUAAAACACUGUUGUAAGAGAAGAAUGACAUUGAGAGUAACUGUUCAGUGUGUGACGGUAUCUUACCAGAAAGGAACGGCUAAAUACGUGCCAGCAGCCGCGGUAAUACGUAUGUUCCAAGCGUUAUCCGGAUUUAUUGGGCGUAAAGCGAGCGCAGACGGUUGUUUAAGUCUGAAGUGAAAGCCCACAGCUUAACUGUGGAAGUGCUUUGGAAACUGGAUAACUUGAGUGCAGUAGAGGAGAGUGGAACUCCAUGUGUUAAGCGGU
rnacentral:rRNA from 1 species